CAGGUGAGUAGAGGUGCGAUAUUUAACAGUCUUUAGUGGAGCGUGAGAAGCAUUGAUGCUAAGGAGAAGGAAAUAUCGCCGAAGUGGUUAAUAUUCUCAGUAUUAACUGCUGGGUCUGUAGUUAAGAGCUACAGAACUGUCUCAAUAAACUUCCAUGGUUAUUGGGUUGUGCUAUCUCGUUA
rnacentral:ncRNA from 2 species